GGCUUACAAAAUAUCAGACAUGGUAGCCCACAGCUACGAUCCUUUACUUACGCUGUGUGAAAGCUGAGGUUCUGUACGAAUAAAUAUGAGUGCACACAAAACAUUUAUUAUCAAGCGAAAGCUUGCGAAGAAAAUGAACCAAAAUAGACCAGUUCCACAGUGGAUCAGAAUGAGAACAGGAAAUAAAAUUAGGUA